UAAAGGCAGCCAAAGCUGCAAACGCUCAUGACUUCAUUAUUUCACUUCCUCAGGGCUAUGACACACCAGUUGGUGAACGCGGAGGCCUUCUCAGUGGUGGCCAGCGACAGAGAAUUACAAUUGCGAGAGCUUUGCUUAAGAAUGCUCCAAUCCUUAUACUUGAUGAGGCGACCAGUGCCCUAGAUGCAGUUAGUGAGCGACUAGUCCAGGACG
rnacentral:misc_RNA from 1 species